GGAUUAGAUACCCUGGUAGUCCACGCCGUAAACGAUGGACACUAGUUGUUGGGCAUUAGCUCAGUGACUAAGCGAAAGUGAUAAGUGUCCCACCUGGGGAGUACGAUCGCAAGAUUGAAACUCAAAGGAAUUGACGGGGGCCCGCACAAGCGGUGGAGCAUGUGGUUUAAUUCGAUGAUACGCGAGGAACCUUACCAGGGCUUAAAUGUAGUGGGACAGGUCUAGAGAUAGACUUUUCUUCGGACUCAUUACAAGGUGCUGCAUGGUUGUCGUCAGCUCGUGCC
rnacentral:rRNA from 1 species